AUCCUGGCUUUCGUUUUGCCUCUAUUUGUAACUCAGUGAAAGAGGCAAGAAAAGCUGUGUGUGUGUGCUGUCUGUGUGUGUGUGUGUGUGUGCAGUUUGUG